rnacentral:rRNA from 1 species
GUCUUUUUGAUAAUUAUUUAAGGUCUGGCCUGCUCAAUGAAUGUUUAAAUAGCCGCAGUAUUUUGACUGUGCAAAGGUAGCAUAAUCAUUAGUUUUUUAAUUGAAAGCUGGAAUGAAGGGUCGGAUGAGAAAGUUUCUGUCUCACUUUAAUUUUGUUUGAAUUUUAUUUUUAAGUUAAAAAGCUUAGAUUUUAUAAAAAGACGAGAAGACCCUAUAGAGUUUAAUAGGUUUAGAUUUUUACUAUUUUAGGAUUAUAUAUUGGUUGAUUUUUAACUUAUUUUGUUGGGGUGAUGUAAGAAUUGAAUUAACUUCUUUUUAUAUAAACAUUGAUUAAUGAGUAAUGGAUCCUUGAAUUUGGAUUGAAAGAAUAAAUUACCUUAGGGAUAACAGCGUAAUUCUUUUGGAGAGUUCUAAUCGAUAAAAGGGAUUGCGACCUCGAUGUUGGAUUAAAGUUUAAUUUUGGUGUAGAAGCUUUGAUUUUGAGUCUGUUCGACUCUUAAAACUUU